GGUUCUAGGAGGGUGGUAAUCUUGAAUAGAGCUCUUUGAAAUUAGUGGAUAUUGGUGGUGAAAUCCUACGCAGUGUAGAUCGUGAUUUUUUACUCUUUUGAGUAAGGAGUUUUCCACAAUAAAUUUGUGUUGCACUUUAUUUUACUGUUUGUUGUUUACUGCAAAUUCUGAGAGCGGGUUCCUAAUACGUGCGGUGGGAUUAGUUGAUUUCUUCAGUUGGUAUCAGAG
rnacentral:lncRNA from 1 species